CGCUGAACUUAAGCAUAUCACUAAGCGCAGGAUCAAAAAUAACUAUGAUUGCCUCAGUAGCGGCGAGCGAAGCGGCAAGAGCCCAAGAUGAAAAUUCCUGUCCUUUGGACUUGAAGAAUUGUAAUCUACAGGACGAUCGCUGACAGGCUCCCUGAAGCCCAAGUGUCUUGGAAUAGACUGCCAUGGAGGGUGAAAGCCCCGUACGGCAUCGGGGAAGCGCUAGGCGGCGUCUCAAGAGUCGAGUUGUUCGGGACUGCAGCUCUAAGUGGGAGGUAGACUUCUCCUAAGGCUAAAUAACUAUGAGAGACCGAUAGCGAACAAGUAAUGUGAAUGAAAGAUGAAAAAUUUACUAUCCGUAAGAACUUUGAAUUAUACAAACAAGAGAAUUAAAUAGACCUGAAACCGUUGAGGAGGAAGCGAUAGGUCGUUUUCGUU
rnacentral:rRNA from 1 species